UACGAAGGGGGGCUAGCGUUGUUCGGAAUCACUGGGCGUAAAGCGCACGUAGGCGGAUCUUUUAAGUCAGUUGUGAAAUCUCCGGGCUUAACUCGGAAAGGUCAACUGAUACUGUGCGACUAGAGUGCGGAAGGGGCAACUGGAAUUCUCGGUGUAGCGGUGAAAUGCGUAGAUAUCGAGAGGAACACCUGCGGCGAAGGCGGGUUGCUGGGCCGACACUGACGCUGAUGCG
rnacentral:rRNA from 1 species